UGGGGAAUCUUCCGCAAUGGACGAAAGUCUGACGGAGCAACGCCGCGUGAGUGAUGAAGGUUUUCGGACUGUAAAACUCUGUUGUCAGGGACGAAGGUGCGAUCUGCGAAUAGUUGAUCGUAUUGACGGUACCUGACGAGGAAGCCACGGCUAACUACGUGCCAGCAGCCGCGGUAAUACGUAGGUGGCAAGCGUGGUCCGGAAUUAUUGGGCGUAAGGAGCAUGUAGGUGGGCUUUUAAGUCCGAGGUGAAAAUGCGGGGCUCAACCCCGUAUGGCAUUGGAUACUGGAAGUC
rnacentral:rRNA from 1 species